rnacentral:misc_RNA from 1 species
UCGGAUGAAUACAGCUGCAACCCUUUCCUUAUUCUCUCCCUCAAAACAUAUAGAGCUGGAUUUGACUUCAUGAUUUUGCUCAUUGCUUGAGCAAUUAGAGGUUUUGAUCCCGGGAACCAAUUGCCAAAGGCAGAGUGCAAGUUAUAUGCAAGGUCAAUACCGAUCAUUACUCCAGUUGGGGCAGGAUAGAUAGACAUGUUG